rnacentral:lncRNA from 1 species
CUGGGGAUCAAACCCAGUGCCUCAUGCAUGCUAAGCAAGCAUUCUACCACUGAGCCACAACCCCAGCCCUGAAAAAGAUUAACUCUUGGGUCAAAGGAAAAAUAAAAAAUUAAACCAAAUGGUAGAAUGUGCUGAUAGUCAAAAUUCUGUGUAUUAAUAUCUAUGGGAUAUAUAGUUAAAGCUGUACUCAAAGGAAAAUUCAUAGAUGUAAAUAGAAUAUUAAGCUGGAAAAGAAUGAAAAUUCAAUCCAAGAAGUAGAAUAAAAUAAUUGGAAGAAAGUGGAAGGAUGGUAUUAGCAGAGAUAAAAGCAGAAAUUUAGGAAGUAGAUAAAUGAGAGUGCUAAUAACUCUUAAGAUGUUUUUUUAUUUUUGGUAGACAGUGUUGAUAAAAAUAUUAAGCAGAUAAACUAAAGCUCAUCAUGAACAAAGGGAGAAAAAAAUAUCACAUUGUAUGUGAAAGUACAAUAGGACAUGGAUAUUUAGAAAAUUAAAUGUAAAAAGUUUACUCUGCUCAACUGGAUACAGAUAAAUUGAAAACAGAAGAGCACUAUUAGGCUCAAGCAACCCAAGGAACAUAGAUAACUGAAAUGCUUUUUACAUUCUUAAAGAACAGAAAAAGAGGGAUGGAGGUGUAAGCUCAGUGGUAGAGCUCUGCCUAGCUUGCGGGAGGCCCUGGGUUAGAUCCCCAACACAACUUGUGUGUACACGCACAUAGAAAAAAGAACAUAGGAAAAUAAAAAAUUGUUUUGUAAAUUACUUUUUACAACAUUAUAUUGAUACCAAAUCUGCCAAAACACACAGAAGAAAACUAUACCAUUCUCAAAAUACAAAAAUCUUGCUGGGCAUAGAGGCACUUGCUUAUAAUCCCAGCAAUUUGGAAGACUGAGGCAAGAGGAUCAAAAGUUUGAGGCCAGUCUCAGCAAACUAGUGAGUCCCUAAGCACCUUAGUGAGAAUCUGUCUCAAAAUAAAAAGGACUGGGGAUGUGGCUCAGUGGUUAGCACCCCUGGGUUCAAUCCCUGAUUACCAAAAAAAAAGAUAAACAAAAAGUAAAAAAAAAAAAAACAAAAAAAAAAACAAAUCCUAGAUAUUGGUGUCAUUCAACAGCACAUUAAAAGAAUAAAUAAUGUAUGAUAACCAAGUUGGCUUUUCUUAUAUUUUUCUUAUAUGGAGGUGUUAAACACCAUAAUUUUAAAAGUGUAAACAGGAAAUAAGAUUUCCCUAGGUGAUGAAAAAAUUGGUUAAAUUAACCAUCAACUUUUACUAAGUUGCUUUGGGCCUUGCUGAUUCUGGCUUCAGCAUCUUCCUGCCUCUGCCUCCAGAGUCGCUGGGAUUACAGGUGUGCGCCACCAUACCCAGCUCACCAUUAAAAUUUUUAAGACAAAAAGAUAAGGAAAAAUAGAAGUUAGAUUAUAGUAGGAGAUUUUUGAUUCAACUCUUCCAAAUAAAACACAAACUAAGAAACUUGACAGUAUUGGGGUCUUAACCCAGGGGUGCUUUACCAAUGAAUUACAUUUCUGGUCUCCCCCUUUUUUUUUAUACUAGGGAUUGAACUUGGGUCACUUAACCUCUGAGCUACAUCCCCCUGACUUGCUAUUUUUUUUAUUUUGAGAGUAUCUUUUUAAAUUGCUG